rnacentral:rRNA from 1 species
UGGGGAAUAUUGCACAAUGGGGGAAACCCUGAUGCAGCGACGCCGCGUGAACGAAGAAGGUAUUCGUAUCGUAAAGUUCUGUCCUAUGGGAAGAUAAUGACAGUACCAUAGAAGAAAGCUCCGGCUAAAUACGUGCCAGCAGCCGCGGUAAUACGUAUGGAGCGAGCGUUGUCCGGAAUUAUUGGGCGUAAAGGGUACGCAGGCGGUUUAAUAAGUCGAAUGUUAAAGAUCGGGGCUCAACCCCGCAAAGCAUUGGAAACUGAUAAACUUGAGUAGUGGAGAGGAAAGUGGAAUUCCUAGUGUAGUGGUGAAAUACGUAGAUAUUAGGAGGAAUACCAGUAGCGAAGGCGACUUUCUGGACACAAACUGACGCUGAGGUACGUAAGCGUGGGGAGCAAACAGG